rnacentral:rRNA from 2 species
UAAGCGCUGGAAACGGCGUCUAAUACUGGAUAUGAGACGUGAUCGCAUGGUCGUGUUUGGAAAGAUUUUUCGGUCUGGGAUGGGCUCGCGGCCUAUCAGCUUGUUGGUGAGGUAAUGGCUCACCAAGGCGUCGACGGGUAGCCGGCCUGAGAGGGUGACCGGCCACACUGGGACUGAGACACGGCCCAGACUCCUACGGGAGGCAGCAGUGGGGAAUAUUGCACAAUGGGCGGAAGCCUGAUGCAGCAACGCCGCGUGAGGGAUGACGGCCUUCGGGUUGUAAACCUCUUUUAGCAGGGAAGAAGCGAAAGUGACGGUACCUGCAGAAAAAGCGCCGGCUAACUACGUGCCAGCAGCCGCGGUAAUACGUAGGGCGCAAGCGUUAUCCGGAAUUAUUGGGCGUAAAGAGCUCGUAGGCGGUUUGUCGCGUCUGCUGUGAAAUCCCGAGGCUCAACCUCGGGCCUGCAGUGGGUACGGGCAGACUAGAGUGCGGUAGGGGAGAUUGGAAUUCCUGGUGUAGCGGUGGAAUGCGCAGAUAUCAGGAGGAACACCGAUGGCGAAGGCAGAUCUCUGGGCCGUAACUGACGCUGAGGAGCGAAAGGGUGGGGAGCAAACAGGCUUAGAUACCCUGGUAGUCCACCCCGUAAACGUUGGGAACUAGUUGUGGGGACCAUUCCACGGUUUCCGUGACGCAGCUAACGCAUUAAGUUCCCCGCCUGGGGAGUACGGCCGCAAGGCUAAAACUCAAAGGAAUUGACGGGGACCCGCACAAGCGGCGGAGCAUGCGGAUUAAUUCGAUGCAACGCGAAGAACCUUACCAAGGCUUGACAUAUACGAGAACGGGCCAGAAAUGGUCAACUCUUUGGACACUCGUAAACAGGUGGUGCAUGGUUGUCGUCAGCUCGUGUCGUGAGAUGUUGGGUUAAGUCCCGCAACGAGCGCAACCCUCGUUCUAUGUUGCCAGCACGUAAUGGUGGGAACUCAUGGGAUACUGCCGGGGUCAACUCGGAGGAAGGUGGGGAUGACGUCAAAUCAUCAUGCCCCUUAUGUCUUGGGCUUCACGCAUGCUACAAUGGCCGGUACAAAGGGCUGCAAUACCGUGAGGUGGAGCGAAUCCCAAAAAGCCGGUCCCAGUUCGGAUUGAGGUCUGCAACUCGACCUCAUGAAGUCGGAGUCGCUAGUAAUCGCAGAUCAGCAACG